rnacentral:tRNA from 1 species
GGAGGCCGCUCAGCUGGUAGAGGGCUGGCCUCGCGUGCGCGAAGGCCUGGGUUCAAUCCCCAGCACCG